rnacentral:lncRNA from 1 species
GGAUUCGCAACAGCAAUAGAUGCAAAGAGAAUAGCAUAUUUAAUACGGAAGAUAGACAGCAAAGUAGACAAAUUGUAGAAGCUAUAAAGCAAAUACAUAGGGAUGAGGCAGAAAACUACAUUAGAACAUACCAGUUUUAGGGAAACAAGAAAAGAAGAGCAGUAGUCUUGUAAAGCCAAAUUGCAAACAAAUAGUAAGAAGGUCUAACAAGAGAGUGGAGUGUUGAGUUGGGAGUGUGAAGUGUAAGAGUAUUGAAAUUGAAGGUGUUCGGUAAGUAAUGUGUGUGAAAGUGCAUAACUGAAGGUAUGUUGAGAAGGAAAGGGUCGUGCCCUUUUUUUAGUGCAGAAAACGAGCAUAACUAGGUAAGAAAAUAAUUCAAAAAUCAAUUACAGAAAUCCCCCUUUAAUUAAGGGAUUCUUAUUUCAAAUGGGAAAAUAAUUAAAGGAAGAGUUUGAUUAGAAUUUUUUCCCAAAGCAGCAUAAGAAGGGUAAAUACACAGAAACUUAUUUAAGGAAAGAGUCUAGUAGUACACAGUUUGUGCAAAUAAAGAAAGAAAAAUCAAUCAACAGCUAGUAAAUCAC